AGACAAGUUGCAGUUGGACACGCUUGACAGUUCGACACAUUUGACAGUUAAAGUGAAGGGGUUUGCUUGCAAUUUUUGAUGAACUGAUUCCCCUCCUACACAUCUAUGUUUAAAAAAUAUAUGAAGUACAUUUCUACAGUUUAAAAUACUAACAAAAGGGAAAGUGCAGCACUGAAAUGAAAACACUGGCUACCAGCUGUAACAACAUAGAUAUAAUGGUCAUUCAGGAUGUAGAAAACCCAAUGUAAUCGCAAUUAAGGCUUUGGAGUACUAUUUAUGAUGGCCGAUCAGAUUUUAAGGGGGUUCCAUGCCACCCAUUAUUUCCCAGCUCCCAAUGACAAGCUCACCCCGUUUUUCAAGCAGCCACCAUCUGGAACGAAACCUUAUCACUGCAUUUCGAAAUAUUCCUCUAAUUUUCUCUCAAUGGCGUUAUUUCUCUCCGCCAGCCGCUGCGUUCCCUGCGACUGCAGCUUGAAAGAUCUUUUUUUAACUAAACUAUUCCUCUUGGGGCCCCAGAGGAAGCAACGGCAUUAGUUCAGCGAGCGUGCCUUUAAAAAAAAAAAAAAUGUAAUAUUUGUACAAAUACAGUGUCUGUAUACCAAUGAGGUCCCACUGGCUGUUUUGGGGGAAUUUGACGGAGAAUAAAGAAGAAUAGCACAUAAUCCCUCAUGUAUCAAGGGACCAAAAACAAAGACGGCAUCUUUCAAAGUAUGAGUACAAGAAAAUAUGCUGGGAAGAAUUUCGAAAAGCUGGCAUCUAGACAUUUGUUUUAAAUAUUUUUAGCACAUUUGACACCCAGAAAGAAAAAUUCAUCAUCACCUUAUCCUUUGGACAACAUUUCACAACAGUUAAGCAGAAAUGGGAUGGCAAACUAUUAUUUUUCCUUUCUUUUUUUGUUUUUUGUAACUAUAAAAGGAAGCCCUGAGGCAAAAUUAUGUAUAAAAUCACAAAAAGGAAGCCUUCAUCAGUGAAUCCUUAAACACAACUGGAAUAGAUGUUGUGAAUGUGCUUUCUAGAAGUGGUUCUCGGUGUCACACAGCUGGUCUCUGCACUGACCACAGUCACUCCCCUGUUCUACUUUUACACCCCAGCCAGGAUGAGUCCCAUGCAGCUCCAUACCGUAAUUUUUCAUGCAUAGCUGUUGGACUUUAUCUGUGCUCUGUUUUCACUCCCAGGAGGAGGUAUGCAAAAGAGUUGCUCUUAUUUUUGGGUGUGUUAAAAAGCUGGAUGACAGAAUGCGAGUCUGGAGAGUUAGAGAAGGAGGGAAAAAAAGAGCAAAACGAGGUAAAAGCGAAAACGGUCUUUAAAGUAAACGGUAAACUGCUGCUUGCAUUUUGUACCUGAAGUCAACAAGGGAUAGACUGAGCUGCCUCUGCUUUACAUUUUAUCAGUUAAAACAGAGAUAUUGAUCGCAGAAAUGUCAGGGUCAGUCACGAUGAAUGAAUAACGCUAGAAAGCAGAGAUUGGAAAAACUUUUCAAACAAUGCUACUGUUGUCUUUUAUGUGUGAAUCAACUGCAUACCUUCUCUUCAUCAAGCAAACCGUACAUUCACAGAACUAGAUCUUUUAUGUCCUUGCAUGUUUACUGUAUUUCUGAUUUCAGAACCAAUAAUUCAUUCACACAUUAAUUCUCACAGUCAAGCACAGAAAUGUUCUGAGACUUGGAUUGAUUCUUUCAGUCCCCAUGACUGAAAAUCAAGAGUUACAGUAGAUGGGUGGGAAUGAAUGAUGCAGCACAGUAUUGGGACACCAAAUUGUGUUUGUAACAAUGCAACAUAAGGGUACAAUAUUAAGGUAAGAUUGUGAGUGUGAAAAAUAGGGCUUUGGAACAAUUCAAAAUAUUGAUCAAAUGCUGAAUUCCAGUAUAGCAUGUUUGAAAUUUCACGACAACCAUUGACUUUGGCUGUUGUUGAAACUUAAAAAAAGUGCAGAUACCAAAAGACAAAACAUACGGGUCAGUCGUCACCGUAGUAAGACUCGCUAACCCUAACUCUAUGAAAUACGCUAAAAUCCUUCACCUGUAAUCACAAAUAAGUAAGACUUAAACUUACACAAACUGAAUGGUCCAAUAAUUGGACUUCAUAGCCUAAUUAUAAGAUAUUUUAUACUUUUAACUAAGCUUUGUAGUUAACUUCUUUAUUUUAGUUUCACCCUCAGAUCUACUGCACUUUGCUCACUCCUUUAUAAAGCUCCCUGGUUCUUGUGAUGCUGCUGUCUGCUGUCGCUGGCACAAUUUGUAAGUCCUUUGGUGAAUUUCAAUGUCAUUUGACGCAUGUAACUUUUGACUUAAGAACUAAGCUGUCUGGGGGUUUUAAAAGUAAAAAGUACUAUUCAAAAAUGCUGAGUUGAAAGCACCAAAACAGAAAAAGGAUUUUUUUAAACAAUCCUUUCAGACUUUGAUGGCGUAGCAAUUAACAAAUCAACUCGACACCCUGCUCCCGAGUCAAAGCAAAUAUGAGAACCAAAAUUGUAUCAGGCAUGAACAAGACAAACAGAAAAAUAAAACAGCCCUUUACUUUUCACCUGGAAACAUGCUGAGAUCAGGUAAACACGCCAACCAUGAGCAGAAACUCAUCAUGGCAAGCGUGGGACCCUUUUCGCUCCACACAUCACUGUCAGGCUGCCCCUGAGCUGAGCCCACCCUGAGGUCACAGUGGUCGUCAGUCUUAGCUUCCCUCCCCAUGGCUUCUCUGUGGUGACGACCUUUGACUUCAAAGUCACUCCACAUCUUCUGGCGUGGGCUGAAAACUCAUAUUUUAAAAAGAAAAUACAUCCUUUUAUUUUCAUCGUCUGAAUCACUCAAAUCUCAGCCAAAACAAGAUCUUUUUUAUAUGUCUCUUUAAAAUUUGUCUGAAAGAGGUAGUUUUCAUUUAUCAAUUUUAUUUUUUGAAUGGGGUGGUGUGCUACUCCAGCUUCUGCAGCCUUUUACUUAAGAGUCAAGCUGACCGGGACCACACUUUCUAUUGAGGGGUUCUUCAUACAGCCCCGCCUUAAACAAAACCUAUCCAAACCUUCAAAGUGAGAAAAUUCAGUUUCACGAAACAUCUAAAUUGAAAAAAAACAGAACCUCUCCUAAUUGCUAGCAAUGAAUUUAUCAUCCCUGGAGCAAAAUCAUCUCUCUCUGUCUUUAGGAAAUGUUAGGAGUUCAACAUACAAGGAUCUUACAAGCCUGGCAAGAACGUCAAUUGUAAAAAAAUAAAUAAAAUACAAGGGGUCAUGUAAAUGCUAUUUUGGGGUUACAAUUUCUCUAGAUAGACGGUUCACAAACCUAUUAAAAAGAAACCCAAGUUUGAUUGAACAAAAGGAAACAAAUUGGACAUUUUGUCCAGGGACCCCAGCCUCAAACCGAAUUAUGAGUCUCAUCAUGUAGUGACCCAACAGAUAUGGGUUUGCAAAGGUCCAGCCCAAUGAGCAUCACAUUUUCAAUUUCAUGGUGUUGUUUAACAAAGGGCAUAUCAACAUGAAGGCUCCAAGCUGCUCAUGUAUAACAUCCCUCUGAUUGUUCAACAAAAGACAUUUUAGAUAUAAAAUGGAGUUUGAGCAGUCACAGUUUCAUAAUAUUUGUUGGAUUUCAGGCUGAUCAAAGAUGAUUUUUUUUCUGGGGGGUGUAGUGAAAGAAACACACAAGCCAAAGAGAGCUUAUGCUUGUUGAGGUUCCAGCACCAAAUAUGUGCUGAAGGGAGAUAAAAAUAUUGACACGGAGAGGAAGAAGUAUUUCUAUAUACAAGAUCAUUAAUGACAGGAGACUAGGGAGGAUGCCGUUUGAGGAAAAGUCAAAUAAACAAGUUCGUGAACAGCCUCUCUUUUCAAAGAACUAUAAAGUAAUUACUUAAAAAUAACUUAUAUCAGCAGCACUGGUUCAUAUGUGAUAUAAAAAGGAGUUUAAUAGGCUUCUGUCAACUCUAAUUGGCCCCAAUUUGAAUGUCUAUUAAGAAAUGGUGCAAAGUGAACAUGGUUGGAUAAGACUGUGCCUCUUUCACUGAAGAAAAACCAGGGAAAAAUCAAUAAGAGUCAGAUAUGGAGCUUUAUUUUUCAGCAGAAGUGCCAUGGCUAAAAUCAUUAAACUGGAUCUUUGAGAUGCCUGACAGUGCAGAGUAUUAGUGUAGUGUGCUGUGAAGCGGACAGUUCUGUGGUGCUGAAAAUGCUUACCAACGGAGGUGAACAGUUCAGCAGUUUUUCUGCCAUAGAGUUUAGCACGCACACAUUUUUAAGGUCAAAGAAACUGAGAAACAUAAACCACUAACAAGAGAUUCCUCCCAAAAAGACUUUGCCAUCACAUAGCUUGUCAGCCAUGGAUCACUGCUGGGACUAAACAUCAACUGAAAAAGUUUGACUUGUAUAAAAUGAAGUCCCAAACUGAUGCCAA